rnacentral:misc_RNA from 1 species
GAACGCACCUUGCACUCUUUGGUAUUCCGAAGAGUACGCCUGUUCGAGUGUCGUGAAACUCUCAAGCUGGAUGGGCUUUAUUGUCUGUCUCAGAUUGGAUGUGUACUCUGCUGUGUAAUAACGGCUGGUCUUAAAGGCAUUAGCUGAAUCUUGAAUAUGGGACUUGGUUCUACUCGGCGUGAUAAUUAUCUACCGCUGAGGACAUCUUUCGGGAUGGCCAGACUCUUUCUCGAAUCGCUUUCUAAUCUGGUUUGCCUUUUGGCACCACUUUUUCAACCUUUGACCUCGAAUCAGGCGGGACUACCCGCUGAACUUAA